UACAGAGGUCCCAAGCGUUGUUCGGAUUCACUGGGCGUAAAGGGAGCGUAGGCGGAUAGUUCAGUCAGAGGUGAAAGCCCAGGGCUCAACCUUGGAAUUGCCUUUGAUACUGGCUGUCUUGAGUAUGGGAGAGGUUAGCGGAACUCCGAGUGUAGAGGUGAAAUUCGUAGAUAUUCGGAAGAACACCAGUGGCGAAGGAGGCUAACUGGCCCAUUACUGACGCUGAGGCUCGGAAAGCGUGGGAGCAAACAGG
rnacentral:rRNA from 1 species